ACUCCUACGGGAGGCAGCAGUGGGGAAUAUUGCACAAUGGGGGAAACCCUGAUGCAGCCAUGCCGCGUGUGUGAAGAAGGCCUUCGGGUUGUAAAGCACUUUCAGUAGGGAGGAAGGUAGUGUAGUUAACACCUGCAUUAUUUGACGUUACCUACAGAAGAAGCACCGGCUAACUCCGUGCCAGCAGCCGCGGUAAUACGGAGGGUGCGAGCGUUAAUCGGAAUUACUGGGCGUAAAGCGCAUGCAGGCGGCCUGUUAAGUCAGAUGUGAAAGCCCGGGGCUUAACCUCGGAAUUGCAUUUGAAACUGGCAGGCUAGAGUCUUGUAAGAGGGGGGUAGAAUUUCAGGUGUAAGCGGUGAAAUGCGUAGAGAUCUGAAGGAAUACCAGUGGCGAAGGCGGCCCCCUGGACAAAGACUGACGCUCAGAUGCGAAAGCGUGGGGAGCAAACAGGAUUAGAUACCCUGGUAGGAUAGCG
rnacentral:rRNA from 1 species